rnacentral:rRNA from 1 species
CAGCAGCCGCGGUAAUACGAAGGGUGCAAGCGUUAAUCGGAAUUACUGGGCGUAAAGCGUGCGUAGGCGGUGAGUUAAGUCUGCUGUGAAAUCCCCGGACUCAACCUGGGAAUGGCAAUGGAUACUGGCAAGCUAGAGUGUGUCAGAGGAUGGUGGAAUUCCCGGUGUAGCGGUGAAAUGCGUAGAGAUCGGGAGGAACAUCAGUGGCGAAGGCGGCCAUCUGGGACAACACUGACGCUGAGGCACGAAAGCGUGGGGAGCAAACAGGAUUAGAUACCCGGGUAGUCCCUGUCUCUUAUAC